rnacentral:rRNA from 1 species
GACGAACCGUGCGAACGUUGUUCGGAUUCACUGGGCUUAAAGGGCGCGUAGGCGGACGGUCAAGUCGGGGGUGAAAGCCUGUGGCUUAACCACAGAAUGGCCCUUCGAUACUGUUUGGCUUGAGACCGGAAGAGGUUAGUGGAACUGCGAGUGUAGAGGUGAAAAUUCGUAGAUAUUAGGAAGAACACCGGUGGCGAAGGCGGCCAUCUGGCUCGGUACUGACGCUCAGGCGCGAAAGCGUGGGGAGCAACAGGGAUUAAGAAACCCUGGUACGUCCGAGAACCAACGAUCGUC